UUUACCGAGUGGCGGACGGGUGAGUAACGCGUGGGUAACCUGCCUCAUACAGGGGGAUAACAGUUGGAAACGGCUGCUAAUACCGCAUAAGCGCACAGUACCGCAUGGUACGGUGUGAAAAACUCCGGUGGUAUGAGAUGGACCCGCGUCUGAUUAGGUAGUUGGUGGGGUAACGGCCUACCAAGCCGACGAUCAGUAGCCGACCUGAGAGGGUGACCGGCCACAUUGGGACUGAGACACGGCCCAA
rnacentral:rRNA from 1 species